rnacentral:misc_RNA from 1 species
GUGAAUCAUCAAAUCUUUGAACGCAAAUUGCACUCUCUUCGGAGCGUAUGCGUGUUUGAGGGUGAGCGUAAAAAUAAUUGACGUAGUCGCUGUUUCGUGGUUACAUUCGUCGGGAAUUGGGUCAUCUUAGACCUUUGGUUUUUUUAAUCGGCUUAAAAUUUUCAUUACGAUUUUAGGAACGUUUUUAAGGUUUUACUGCUUACUUACGUUUACGUUAUCGAUCUUUAUUAGACGUGGUCGUUGCCU